GAUGAACGCUGGCGGCGUGCCUAACACAUGCAAGUCGAGCGAACAGACGAUGAGCUCGUUCCUCUGACGUUAGCGGCUGACGGGUGAGUAAGACGUGCAUAACCUACCUCUUAUACUGGGAGGACUACGUGAAACAGGAGCUGCUACUGGCUCAUAUAAUCUACCGCAUGGAUCAAGAGUUCAUGAGGGCUUUGCUGUUUCAAAUAGAUGGAUUCGUGCCGGAUUAGCUAGUUGGUAAGGUAACGGCUUACCAAGGCAACGAUGCGUAGCCGAUCUGAGAGGGUGAUCGGCCACACUGGAACUGAGACACGGUCCAGACUCCUACGGGAGGCAGCAGUAGGGAAUCUUGCGCAAUGGGCGCAAGCCUGACGCAGCCACGCCGCGUGAGUGAUGAAGGUCUUCGGAUCGUAAAACUCUGUUAUUAGGAAAGAACAAAUGUAGUAGUAAACAUGCACGUCUUGACGGUACCUAAUGAGAAAGCCACGGCUAACUACGUG
rnacentral:rRNA from 1 species